GUGGGUGUAGCUCAGUGGUGGAGCGCAUGCAUAGCAUACAUGAGGUCCUGGGUUCAAUCUCCAGCACCUUCA
rnacentral:tRNA from 1 species